rnacentral:tRNA from 1 species
UCCUGGGUGGUUUAGAUGGUAAAGAAUCUGUCUGCAAUAUAGGAGACCCUGGUUUAAUCCCUGGGUCAGGAA